UAAAACCGUCAGGCUGAAGGGAGGCUAAUUACUCUCACGUAUUUUCUUAAAGUGACAGGCACUCAAUUACACCUACUCAUCACCAAUAGAUAUAUAUACU